rnacentral:lncRNA from 10 species
AGAGUAGGGUGGAGCUCCCAACAGGCUGGGCAUGGAGAACGGCUCGGGCGCCAGGCAUGACUAAGAGAUAUCGUGAAAUUACAACUCAACAAUGAAUUACAGCACAGGCUUUUCACAACUAAGAGACUGUCCAUCAUGGUGCCAGUUUUUCUCAAAAUGGCAUGUGUGCAUGAAAUUCUACAGGCAUAUGGGGUCGUGAUCUGCUAAUCUCCAGUUAUUAUACAAAACUACAGAUACUUGAAAACAGAACCAAAUAAAAAUUCUAGCAGAAGAAGACAAUAUAUGAAAUUUAAUAAUUCAUUUCCUGGGAAUGACAGCAGAAAGGUGAUGACAGAGGAAAGAGCCAAUAAAAUUUGAAGACAGGAAUUUAGACAUGAAAGAGUGGAAUAUAUUCUGUUUUAAAAAUAUUAUUGCAAAUUGUUGCACCUGUGCAUCUCUUCCAGACUACUUUGAAAAGGGACUUUCCAGCUAUCAGUACACUAUCUCACAAUUACCCUUGAACCAGAAGACAAUGAAUGAUUUGCUAAACAGAUGGCAUAGUCUAUGACAUGCAUCAUAUGUGUGAGCAAUCACAGAAGGUAUGACUUUUCUCAUG